rnacentral:lncRNA from 1 species
CCACAGCACCACCCUCAUUCCCUAUGAAAAAAGUAACACCUGUGGGAAAUGGAAGAAGCCAUACCAGACAGCAGGCGUGACCUGGAAGCUGUUUUUAAGAGGUCAGCCUUUUGCUACAUGAGCUAUCUGGCCUAUUAAUGUUCAGAACGUUCUUUGCUGAUUAGGAGCACAGGAAUAUCAUAUCAUAUCAUAUAUCAUAUCAUACAAGAUAGCCAAAGCCCAGUGGUAUGGAGUGGUGCCUUGUAUUAAGGCAGACCAUUGGUCAGUCUAGUUCAGUACUGUUUGAAGCUGCUUUGAGGUAUAAGCAGUAUAUUAAUUAAUUAAUUAAUUAAUUAAUUAAAGCAACAAAAGGGGGCAAAGCCAUAAGGAGCACCAUUUGAACUUCCUAUGAUUUCUACCACUCUCAACAGCGAGUAGGGUUCCCCUUAUCCCUGGCCUUUCUCCCAGCUGUUUCUCAUGCACCUGCCUAAUCUCCUUCUUAACCUUUCACCAGCAGUUGUCCAGGUCUAAUCUCGUGGUUUCCAUCCCUGGGUGUGUGUACGAUGGCCAAGGUGCAAUAUUCUGCUAGCAUCUCCUCGAUCCUAAUGCCUGUUGAUUUCUCCCAGGCCUCAGAAAUAACUUUCACCUGUCUCCCUUCCAUAUCACAGGUUGACAUCCCCUUUCAAUGGGAAUUGCAGUAGCAUUAUUCAAGCUAAAUUUGCCCCCUCAUAGGUGCAAUUGCAUGAUUUCCUGGCUGUAGGCUAAGGUGACUGAAUGCAACAGUCCAUGCAAGUUGAAAGGACGGUGAUUUGACUACUGUAGGGACCUUGGAUGACACUGUGGCUACCCUUGCCCUGCUGUGAAGCCAGAUUUAAUCCUGGAUGGAGGCUGUGAUAUAAUUUAUCAAACUGGUGUCUCCAAGGAAACCUAAGGGCCAUUAGGCAGGAGCUGUCCAUCAAUCGCUUUUCAGGUGGCUCAUGUGAUGUUGACAGCUCUGGCUAUAGCUUGAUGUUGCUAUUUCCUCCUUCCUGCCUUGCUAACUAAACCAUUCAUAUGAGAGCCUUCUCCAGUAUGACCUCAGUGAUGCAAAUACUGCUGCAUUGUGUCUUCUUUGUGCACUAUUCCAUCAGAAGCUGCAGACAACAUGCAAUAAGCAGAUCAGAAUACAAUUAUCCACUCCACCAAAAGCGUAACAUGUAUUUAUUUAUUUUUAAUUUCCCUAUUUGUCCCUAUAUUGUGAAGCAAUAUUUCUAAUGUCAAAACAAACACCAAUAGAAAUAAGGGACAACCUUGUCUUGUUUCUUUUCUAUUUGACAUUUGUCUGUAAGAAUAUUAUUUACUAAAAAUUUUGUGGAUUGGUCAGUAUAGAUCGCUUUAAUUCCAGCCAGAAAAGAAUUACUUAUUUCCAUUUUCUCUAAUACCUUAAUCAGAAAUGACCAAGAUAUGUUAUCAAAAGCUUUCUCCGCAUCUAAAAAGAUUAAUAAGGCCCAUUACAUGUAUUAAAUUUUAAGAUGCAUCCAUAUUUUAGGGUAAAAUGCCUACAAAAUGCAUAUUUUAUUUUUAAAUACAUACAGAAAUAAUGUGAAUUUUGUGCAUUAAAAAAUGCACAGAUGGGUGUGGAAACAGAGCAGGGUUGAAUUAAAAAUAGACACAUGCAACACUGAUGUGCAGGGCCAUCUUAAGCAUAUCCGGCGCCAUGGUGCAAAGAUCCCUCCAGCGCCCCCCACCCCAUUUCCCAGAGUUGUCGACCUUUUCCCAAACCUCUGCUGCAUGCCUGCCAGCCAUAUGGUUGACGGGCCACAGCUGGUGGGCAUGCAGGGAAAGGGGAGGCCGUCAGCAAAGCCGCACAGCUCCCCCACUCACUGGGGCGCCCCCGACAGGCCAGUGCCCUGGCGCAAUGCGCCAGUAAGCCCAAUAGAAAAGACGGCUCUGCUGAUGCGGACCAGAAAUAGACAGGUACUCUCUUUUCAACAUGGCUUUUGCUCCAGCUCCCAGGAGAUUUGAGGUUGCCAGCUCCUCCCACCUUCCCCUGGCUUCCAAAGUUACUGGUAGUGGCCCAGGAAAGAGACACCGCUCCCAAGUCAUGGAGGGAGAGGGCCUGGGUGGAAAGAAAGGUCUAGUGUUACUCCUUGCAAAAUCUUCCGUGUCUCGUGAAAAGGAAAUACCCAGUGACAAAGUUUGAGAUGCUUGCUUCCUAAGCAUUUUGCAGAAUAGCUAAGAAUUUAUUCAUGGGAAAUUGUUGAUGGGAAAUGCAUCCGAAAACUUAGAUCUCAUUUCCCCGAGAGCUCCAGAUGUGAGAGUAAAUGAUUACACACCAAGACAGUACUGUGAUCUAUGCAAAAGGAAAAGGAAGGAGGGGAAAUGUAAAUUUGUAAUGGGUACAGGAAGGUGAAUUUAGCCAAGAGGAAGCUGUAUUUAUGAUGGGCUGGAGGGAAAAAUAGGCCGCCUGAUUUGUGUAAUUUAUAAAUCUGUGAUUUAUUUCUCUUUUCACUGGCAUGUGCUGUAUGGCGCUGGAACUUACAGGGUAAGGAAGAAGAGCCAGAAGCGUAAAGAAGCAAAAGCAUUCAGAAGUGGAGAAUACAUAAUGCCUGGCAAGAGCAUAUAUUUCUCUGGUGACAAAGUCAGCAAAAAUCCUUUAGGCCAAUGGUGGAGCUGAGGAACAGCUAUUAAUCAGGGUGGAGUUAGUCUAUUAUCUGGACGAAAAGGACAUUAUUGAGGAGGUCUGGCCCCCUUCCACAUCUGAGUGAAAUUCAUAUAGCCUCAUAACCUGAUUGUUGAAGAGAAAAUUGGCCAUUGACGCCAACUUGGCAGCCUUAUUAGUUUGGAAGAUGGAGCUGUGAUCAUAUUACACCUGGAUUGGUCACCCUUGGCUUCAGCUGAACAUUUUUUUGUGGCGGUUCUUUCUCUAGUUGUGUCAUAAUGGGAGGUGUAAAUCAGGACACAUAACCUCUUCUUACUGUCUUAGAGCAAUGUGCCUCCACUAAUUGGACCCACUAUCUCGCAGAUGCAUUGCUACAUAGUGGAAUAAUAGGUGGGAAAUUGGAGGCGGUUUUUAAAAUCUCCAGAACCAUAUCCUAUUUAGGCCUCCUGAACAAAAUGAUAAUAAUUAAAUGAACAGUCUCUUUCUGGCACGAAAAUAAAUUGAGGCUUUCAAGGUAUUUUACACCUUGUUUCACUUUUAUGUCUAGCUGAGCUGAUGAGUUACUUCCAAGACGGUAUGACAUUUCUUGAUAUUGCUCACUGCAGGUAUUUCUUUAGGUAUUGGAACAGAAAAUGGACCUGCUCUGAGGAUCAUCCUGACCAGCACACAAGCACUUGUGUGUGUUUACUUAUAAGUAAAUCUUAGUGAGUUCAGUGAGGUUUACUCAUAUGAGAUUUGAGCCUAAGGAUGGAAAGAGG